rnacentral:tRNA from 1 species
GCGCGCCUAGCUCAGUUGGAUAGAGCAGCGGCUUGCUAAGCCGAAGGCCGGGGGUUCGAGUCCCCCGGCGCGGC